CUUGUCUAUUCUUUGAGAAUUUUAAAAUAGACAGUCAUGUCGUCUGCCAACGAUAGUCUUAUUUCUUCCUUUUCAGCCUGUAUACAUUUUGUUUCCUUUUCUAGUCUAGCUGGAUUAGCUAGGACUUCCAGUACAGUCUUGAAUAAGAACAGUGAGAGGGGAGGUCCUUGCCUUGAUCCUAAUCUUCGGGGGAAAAGCAUCUAGAUUCUCACCACUAAAUAUGACUUUAGCUACACCAAGGAAAGGCCAUGUGAACACUCAGCAAGAAGGUGGCCAUCUACAACUCAAGGGGAGAGCGCUCACCUGACACCAGCCCUAUUGGCAUCCUGAUCUGGGACUUCUAAUCUCCAGAACUAGAUUCUGUGCUUCCAAUCACCAGGAAUGAUGUCAAAGUGCAUAAAUCUGUGAGCAGCAAUGAAACUCACUUGGAGGGUCAUUCACAUGAAGAAAAACAUCUAGAACCAAGUGGCUUCAAGCUGCACAUGAAGUGGAAUGUUCCAGGAGCCGUUGUUGACACACAACCAG
rnacentral:lncRNA from 1 species